rnacentral:misc_RNA from 1 species
ACCAACUAACCAACUAAAUGUGAGAGAAGUUCUCUCAUGAAGUUCAUGCUCCCAGCAGCAGUCACAUUCAUUUGUGAACUGUUGGGUACUACACUGCCUUAU